UCCCAGACUCCUACGGGAGGCAGCAGUGGGGGAUAUUGCACAAUGGGGGAAACCCUGAUGCAGCGACACCGCGUGGGUGAGGAAGCGCUUCGGCGUGUAAAGCCCUAUCAGCAGGGAAGAAAAUGACGGUACCUGAGUAAGAAGCCCCGGCUAACUACGUGCCAGCAGCCGCGGUAAUACGUAGGGGGCAAGCGUUAUCCGGAUUUACUGGGUGUAAAGGGAGCGUAGACGGCAGUGCAAGUCUGGAGUGGAAGGCGGGGGCUCAACCCCCGGACUGCUCUGGAAACUGUACGGCUGGAGUGCAGGAGAGGUAAGUGGAAUUCCUAGUGUAGCGGUGAAAUGCGUAGAUAUUAGGAGGAACACCAGUGGCGAAGGCGGCUUACUGGACUGUAACUGCCGUUGAGGCUCGAAAGCGUGGGGAGCAAACAGGAUUAGAUACCCCCGUAAAC
rnacentral:rRNA from 1 species